GAAGGCAAGCGGAUCUCUUAAAGCCGUUCUCAGUUCGGACUGUAGGCUGCAACUCGCCUACACGAAGCUGGAAUCGCUAGUAAUCGCGGAUCAGCACGCCGCGGUGAAUACGUUCCCGGGCCUUGUACACACCGCCCGUCACACCAUGAGAGUCUGUAACACCCAAAGCCGGUGGGAUAACCUUUAUAGGAGUCAGCCGUCUAAGGUAGGACAGAUGAUUAGGGUGAAGUCGUAACAAGGUAAC
rnacentral:rRNA from 1 species